CCGGCAGUUGGUGUUGGGGCGCCGCGUGGGCUGAUGGGAGCUGUAGGCGGGGCCGCAGCCGCCUCACGCGACCCGCGAAUGUCGCUUGUUGCGGCUGUGGGGCCGCGCACGGAGCAGGGCGCUGACAAUGGGAGCCCAGGAAAGGCCUCUCAGUCCUCAAAUUUAUCCCUCUGACUACAUUGUACAGCCUCAAGCACCGAUGUAAAGGCGGAGCGAACUUGUCCCUGUUCUAAUUCCAGGCGGGACUCAGCGCUUUGAAUUUCCAAACACGGCCCGGGCUCGGCCCCCAGAGUUUCCCGCAACAAAUAAAACAAUUUAUUGUCCGAUAAAUUCUGGAAGGCAAUGCCUUGCAAGGUGUGGCCUCCGACGGGAUUCCCGAGAUUCCAGCGGAAACAGGAGUUCUCCAUCGGGGGAACUGCAAGUCCUGAAGAGGAAAUCUCUAAAACAGGAGUCGAGUUAUGAGUUUUAUCGCUUUCCUAAGCGAUUAUUUUCACCUCAUUUUUCACAUAUUAUUGAGUGAAAGAAGAUUUUCCUCAGAUUUACGUCAUUAAAAUAAACACAGCCCUGUCGGUGAUGGCAGUAUCUGGGAGAUGGUUCUGUCCUCUUCCUCCUCACCCCUUCAGUACUGGAACCCAUCCAUGUCCCUUCCUCCUGCGGUGUUUAUGGAAAACUUGGAAAAUCCCCCCCUUAUGCUCCUGUUUUGGAGAAAAAAACUGAGAUAUCAGAGUUGUCCCACGUUUCAGGGAAGAGAGGGAACGUGGUGAUUGUAAAAAGAAAGGAGCAUUUAACUGGGAUCACUGGAUUAUUACUGGCAGGACUCAGGUAGCUAAUUACUGCCAUUAAUUAGUGUGGAGCAGAUAAAGAGGGAUUUUUUUGUUUUACUUUUUAGCCCACCCAAGGAGAAAUCAAAAGAGGAAAAUAAAAGCCUGGACAGCACAGCUGCUCCUGAGCAUGUAGAUUUUUUUUUGCCAUCACUUUCACAAUCAGCUGUUUUUCUUGGGAAACUUUUUCCAAGGUACUUCAGUUACUCAUUUCUAGGAACUGGAGCCUCAUGUCCAGAAAAAGCUCCUGUUGGUGCAGGCAGGAGCUGCUGCCCCUCUGCCUGGCAACACAGAUCCCACAAACAAACCCAGGGAGCACACGGGGAAUCUGUGUCCAAAUCCGGUCUGCAGGAGCACCUGUGUGGAAAGGCUGUUCUUUAACACCAAGGAGGGAGGAGAAGAAUGAAGUGAUGCCCUGAACAACAGGAAGUAAAUUGAAAUCCAUUAUUUUUGGUGAAGAAAUCAGCAAAUCCCAGCACUGCAUCACACAAGUGGUGGUGUUCCUGAAAGGAGGAAGGCAUGUGUGUGACAACUGAUGGAUAUGGAGGAAUUGUUUGGGAAUUUGGAAGAUAACCUAUGGCAGGAUACAGCUAGCAGGAGGUUCAUCAAGUGGACACCAAGCAGAACAUGCUUCUAAGAACUUUCUUGAAUGGAUUUGUGUCAGGAUACCACAGAUAUCAUGGUCAGGAAUUUCAAGAACAAAAUCCCUGGGGAAGCUGCACAAGGAGCUUUCUCCUGAGAGCAAGAACCAAGUUUUCAUUUUGGCCAGCAAAGACACCAGUGCUGCUGCACAAGAGAGCAGGGAAUUGGUGUUGAAAAGGGAAGGAGCCACUGAAGGAGCUGAUUUUAAUGGAAUUGAGGACAGUUUUUGACUCUUCCAGGAAUUCCGACAGAGAAGCAAAAGCUGGCCAUUGAACAGGUGUGGAUCCAAUGAUGUUAACAGUCAGCAGAACCAAAGAUUUUUUUUUAAAGAGCCAUGGAUUGUACUGGUCCUUUUGGAUGUGAGGGGAACUUUAUGAUUAAAUUAACAUUUUUUUUUUAAUUUUCUAACACAGGGAAACCAGAUUGGAAAUUGAGGUGUAGAGAAGCUCCCAGUUGGAAAUACUUGACAUUGUAGCACUUGAUUUACAAAAGUUUUAAAGAAUCACAAUUCUUCAGAAUGCCUGAUUUUAACAGGAACUCUUCUGCACUCCCAUAAAUGUAUUUAUCAUGGAAAGUGGUCUUAGGAGGACUUCUGGGAUACAACUUCCAAGUAUGCAUUUUCCCUAGGAUAACUAACACAGCCUUUUUCCUGGACACUUCUUCUUCUCCAGAAAACUCCAUGGUUUUGGGGAAGGAUUUUCACAGAAUCACUGAGGUUGGAAAAGAUCUCUAAAAUCAUCAAGUCCAACCUGUGCUUGAUGCCCACUUUGUCCCCAGCCCAGAGCGCCUCAUCCA